rnacentral:rRNA from 1 species
AUUGAACGCUGGCGGCAUGCCUUACACAUGCCAGUCGAACGGCAGCAUGGAGAGCUUGCUCUCUGAUGGCGAGUGGCGAACGGGUGAGUAAUGCAUCGGAACGUACCGUGUAAUGGGGGAUAACGUAGCGAAAGUUACGCUAAUACCGCAUACGACCUGAGGGUGAAAGCAGGGGAUCGCAAGACCUUGCGUUAUACGAGCGGCCGAUGUCAGAUUAGCUAGUUGGUGAGGUAAAGGCUCACCAAGGCGACGAUCUGUAGCGGGUCUGAGGGGAUGAUCCGCCACACUGGGACUGAGACACGGCCCAGACUCCUACGGGAGGCAGCAGUGGGGAAUUUUGGACAAUGGGGGCAACCCUGAUUCAGCCAUGCCGCGUGAGUGAAGAAGGCCUUCGGGUUGUAAAGCUCUUUCGGCCGGGAAGAAAUCGCACAGGCUAAUACUCUGUGUGGAUGACGGUACCGGCAUAAGAAGCACCGGCUAACUACGUGCCAGCCGCCGCAGUAA